UCUAAUAUGGCAGAUUAGUGCAAUAAAUUUAAGAUUUAUAUAUAAAAUUAUUAUUUUUGUUAGAA
rnacentral:tRNA from 1 species